CCUACGGGUGGCAGCAGUGAGGAAUAUUGGUCAAUGGACGGAAGCCUGAACCAGCCAUGCCGCGUGCAGGAAGACGGCUCUAUGAGUUGUAAACUGCUUUUGUAGAAGGGCAAACCUCAAUACGCGUAUUCUGCUGCCUGUACUGUACGAAUAAGCAUCGGCUAACUCCGUGCCAGCAGCCGCGGUAAUACGGAGGAUCCAAGCGUUAUCCGGAUUUAUUGGGUUUAAAGGGUGCGUAGGCGGGGUGUUAAGUUAGGGGUUAAAUGCCGGGGCUUAACCCGGGAACGGCCGCUAAUACUGUCGAACUAGAGAGGAGGAGCGGUAAGCGGAAUGUGUGGUGUAGCGGUGAAAUGCGUAGAGAUCAUGCAGAACACCGAUUGCGAAGGCAGCUUACCGGACUAUAACUGACGCUGAGGCACGAAAGCGUGGGGAGCGAACAGGAUUAGAUACCCUUGUAGUC
rnacentral:rRNA from 1 species